GUUGUGGCUCAAUGGCAAAGUACUUGCCUAGCAUGUCUGAGGCCUGGGUUCCAUCCUCAGCACCACA
rnacentral:tRNA from 1 species